UCUAAUAACUCUCUUCUCUUUUUCUCACUGUCUAUCUCUUCUCUUUCUUCAUCUCUCUUUCUACAACAAACCCUAAUUUUCAUAAUCACAAAAUUUGACCUUAUUUUUCUCUCAUCCAUCAUAUCGUUCCGCUUCUUCUUCAAAAUGUUUCGGCAAUUUUGAUGUGAUGGUUUCUACUUUCAAAUGAAGCGGAUUUCGAUGGUUUAAUGGUGUUGGCUCAAGCUAAAAGGGGGGAGAUUCGCGGCGGUUUCAAAUCUGUGCUAUUUGAGAAACCCUAAUCCCAAUAUUUUCCUGUUUCAAAGCUGUGAUAUUUGAUUUGUAUGGGUGCGGUUUUUGGUUUCUGUUUCAAAGCUCAGAACAUAUUCACAUCGCUACCGAAGCAGAAGAACAACCAGAAUUUACGCUGAAUUUGUAAAGGUGUGUUUCGACGGUGAAGAAGAAACAUAUGAGUGGCGAAUGCACAUUAAGUCUUAUGAUCAUUGGUAAGCUACUAUAUCUCACUCAUUCUCGCCCGGAUAUUGUUUUCUCUGUUUGUAGGUUAAAACGUGAUGCUGAAAUGGAAUUUGAUCUUGGUUUCAACAAGCACUUGCAGGCAAGGGAGGUUGCUGAAUUCUUGGUAUGCUUUUUUUGCCUCUGGCAUACAUUGCUUGAUGUAUUAUAUUGAAUCUAAAGCUUUUGAUAUUAUGAAAGACUUGCAGCGAACGAAUUCUGUGACAGUUAUUGUGAAUAAUCUCAAACGCGAAUAGCGAAAUUUAGCGGUUUGUUCAAUUCUGCUAUAGUUAUGUUAUAGCUGUUAUUUGACAGCACCAGUAAUCUCCGAUUGAACGUGAUUGAUUCAAACACGCGUUGUUGAUGAAUGAUUGAAUUUAGUACAACUAAGAGGAUUAUACUAAAUAAAAUUGCAUGUGUUUUUCUCAGGAUGAAAUGAAGCAGCUUGCGAAGAGUGAGAGAAUGUCGGUUCAUGUGUCAUUGUUUUAUGCAGGGUAUCAUUGUUUUUGCAUUAGUAAUGGCGACCUUGAUUUCAUAUCCUGUGAUGCAAUUAUUUCUGUUUUUGAAACUAUUUUGUUAAUUGAUAUUCGUUUUUGUGUUCUUCAAUUAAUUUUCAUGUUGUAAGUUGUUGUAUGGAUUGCAGACCAGUAACGUAUCCGUGGUCCAUACCAUGAAGAACUGGACAUGUUUUCUUGUGUUCGUAUGAGCGUGGUCAUGUUAUAACUGUGCAAUAUGUUUUCUUCAAUUCCUCUUCGGUUUCUUAUCUCGGGUAUAAUUUAUUAUAUGUUUAUAAUUAGAUUAAAGCUCUUGAUUCCAGAAUUAAUAUUUAGAAUUGAAUUUGUAUUAACUUCUGCAAGAUUUGGACAUGUUAUGUUCCUGGAAAUUGUUUAUGAGCCAACCUUGAAGUGUGAUGCAGAGAAUGGAGAAUUUCUCACCUACUGCAGCAAAUAUAUUGUCUUCCAUAGCUAAAAUAGAUAGUUUUUUAUUGUGAUAGAGUGCAAGUCAGUUGCAUCUGGACUGACCGCAAUGGACUUUAGGCGAGUAUGUUGUGGUGGAUUACCUAUCGUGAAAGUAUCGUUUGUGCGGUUUCAUUAAUUGGAGUAUGUCAUCAUCAUCUCAUAGAUUAUGGAAAAAUUGAACAAAAAAACUCUCGCAAUACGGCUGAAAGUGUGAAGAGUCCACGCAAGAGUGGUGCUACGCUGACGGUUCCAGAGACUGUGUCGGUGGCUCUAAGAUUAAGGCGGUCCUCUGGAAGCACACUGAUAUGAAGUUAUUCGGAGCGGUCUGCGGAAUUUUUUAGUAGUUGAAGCUGAUACGUGGGGCCAUUUGUUAUCAUAGACUGCAGAGUAUCCAAACGUGGCUGUUUUCGGACCAAAUGUUACAAUUGGUUCCAGUAGAAGCUGCAAGUUGGUUUUGAAGGAUCGACCUUUAGUUUUUCUACUCUUUGUGAUGUAACUGAAAAUUGUUCAACAUUUAAAGAAUAUCUUGGUGCUGCAAUACUCAAUGGAAAAGAAAUAGACAUUUCUUUUGACAACUUCCCAUACUAUUUAAGCACACAAGGCACAUCAUGAAAGAUCCCAGUAUUGCUGAAUUUUGGUUGAUUCCCUUCCCACAAAUUAUGUAUGGAUUUACCUAUUGCGAUAAUGCAAAGCAGACAAUAUGGUCAGAGUACAAGGUUGUUGAUUCACAUAUAUCCUUCCUAUUUUUCAGUUUCAGCUUAACUAUUAAUGUAUUACUUUAGAUGUUAUGAGACUAACAUUAGUUCACAGUUUACUUGAGUCUGUGGAUAACAAUUUUCAGAUUGCACUAGGGGGUGUUAUUCCCGGGAUUUCUUCAAUAGAUAUGGUGAUUUGAGACAUAUUAGUCGCUUGCGAUUCUGGCCUUUAACUAAAGUGCUCACGAAGAAGUAUGAUUUUAGUGAGAAAGAUGACAUGAGUGACUUUUUGGUUUCUAUCCUUGACUUUGUUCCUGAGAAACGACCUACAGCUGCAAUUUUAGUCAGGAGAAUUUUUAAACGCUUCCUUCGCAAGUUUUUUCUUCUGAAUUUCAGUCAAAGAAAUUGGUCAUAAUUGUUUUGGAUCUGAUUACUAUUUUAUUUAAAAGAAUAUGUGUGAAAAAAAUGCUUUAUCUGUAUGCAGGUAUCUAUGAAUCAAAAGGAAUUCAUGUUGCCACUUAUUGUCAAGACAACAGGCUCUUGACCUAAGAGAAGUAAGGGGAGGUGAUGAUAUGAGAUUUAAUCACCUUUGCAAAAAGCUAGGAGUGAAGCUGAUGGGAACAAAAGGAUUGCGGCUAAAUGCUGAUUCUCUCAUUGCUUCUAUUAAAGCUGAGAGGGGCAGCCGUGAACCUGUUUCAACUUCUAUGUCUCUUAAAUCAGGGGUGUCAAAACUAAAAGCAGGCAUUAUGAAGCGAAAGAUAAUCAGGUUUGAGCAUAAUUUCUUGAUAUUCAGUUAUAAUAUCUGGCUUCUCAAAUCAUAAGCUGUUCGAUUUGAUAUUAAAUUGUAGCUUAAUCAUAUUGAUUUACUCAGAAAGGCAAAGUUGGUGAAGAAAAGCAAUGGAUCCAUACGUUAAAGAAUCAGUUAGUUAGAGGUUUGAAUUUGACUGUUAAAACCAAAAAGUUAGUUACUGAUUUUGUUACAAAGUUAGUUGUGUAAGGUUGAUAGUUAGGAGUUAAUAGCUUGGUAAAAACAAUUAAUUAGAAGCCUAAUUACUAGGUUAAUAGCAGAGUUAACAACUUUGAGUCUUUGUUAUAUGUCUCUGAAUGGCCAAUUAAUGGAGACUGUGUGGAAAUGUGAGGACCUUAUGGACUAUGUGUGUACAUGAUAAGAAAUAAUGUUAAGUUGUUUGGUCUGUCAUGUCAUGUUAUCUUAUUUUUUUCUAUUGAAGAGAACAUAUGCAAGGAUGCUUUGUAUGGAUGUUGCAGAUGCUUUGAAUGUUUAGACUGAUUUUUGGAAUGAACGAGAUUGUUAGUGAAUAAAAUGUGUAACUGCAUAGUGGACAGCCAUGUAGUGCAAAUUCUCUACUUAGGAGUAUGAAAAUUGUCGGUCAUGUGGUCUCCGAUUCGAUAGUGGAAGAGGUGAGUCAAGCAUACAAAAGUGUGGAUUCUUUAGACGAUAGUCCCCCGUUGGAGUCACCGACAGUGUUCUGGUUAUAACAGAACUACUAGAGCCACUUAUUUAUAUUGUUCCCUUGGUUACAAGAAAUAUUCACAUGGGAAAAAACAAUAAACAUUCUUGCUGCACCCCUUAUAAUCACCUAAAUGGAAUGGGUUAGAAAGGGAGCUGCAACAUUCUUGGUAUGGGUGAUAGUAAAUAUGCUUGAGGAAAGAGAGAAAAAGCUUAAUAAGCAGUGCAAUGAGAUAGUAAUCAGUAGAUCUAAUAUGGGUUCUGAUCAAUCUACAAUGGAUAGCAUUGUCUCACCCCAACGUGGAUUUUACACAGUUCAUAAGAUGAUGCAGAUAGCAAACAUAACAAUGUUAAAGAUAUGGUCUAUACUUAUUUCCAAGGCUGACAAGCAGGAGAGGAAAGCAAAAUUAACCAGGUCCGUUCCUGACUCUGCUGAUGCAGUAAAUAAUGUUUCCGAAGAAAUGACUACAAAGAAGAUUCGUUAUGCGCAUGAUAAUGAAGAAAUUUCGAACAAACUCUCUAAAGAAAUCUCAACGGGUGGUGGCAGACAAUGAAAUGGCUUUCUAAUUGUUGUUUGUUUUUAAAACUAAUUCAAUUUAUAAAUGGUGUCAUCACUUAGAAUAAACUAACAUACAUUUUAAAUGUGCACAGUUAAUAAGAAAUAUUAAAAUCAUUUAUAUAUUUUGGUUGAUUAAUAAGAAA